UGUGUGUGUGUCUGUUCUUAGGCUGAAAUUCGAUUAAAACUAUUUGAGAAACUUUACCUUCAUGGGGGACUA